CCCUUCCCUCCCCUCCUCCUCUUUCCUCUCCUCUCCCCUCCCCUCCCCUCCUUUCUCCCCCUUCCUCCUCUUCCUCCUCCUCCUCUUGCUCCUCCCGGGCGGGGAAACCCAGCCCCGCGCUCGUCUUUGGGGCCACCGGUCGCCCCCGCCUCCGGGACCUGCGGGGAGGGCCCGCGAGAGAUGGAGACGAGAGAUCUGGACUUCUGAACAUCUACCGGAAAAGAUAAAAUGUGCAAGCCCUUCAGAACGCUGGGGAGGUUGGGCUGAACUGCAGUGGGAGAGGAGAAGAGAUGCUGGCGUGAAGGGCUGGGGCAGAAGAUCAGGGGAAAAUUGCGGAUGAUCUGAAUGAUAGCAGUGACCACCAGCAACCUACAGAGCUGCCCAACCAGGAAAUUGUCAGAUGGAAGCAACGCUU
rnacentral:lncRNA from 1 species